rnacentral:rRNA from 1 species
GCACCUCGAUGUCGGCUCAUCACAUCCUGGGGCUGAAGUAGGUCCCAAGGGUAUGGCUGUUCGCCAUUUAAAGUGGUACGCGAGCUGGGUUUAGAACGUCGUGAGACAGUUCGGUCCCUAUCUGCCGUGGGCGCUGGAGAACUGAGGGGGGCUGCUCCUAGUACGAGAGGACCGGAGUGGACGCAUCACUGGUGUUCGGGUUGUCAUGCCAAUGGCACUGCCCGGUAGCUAAAUGCGGAAGAGAUAAGUGCUGAAAGCAUCUAAGCACGAAACUUGCCCCGAGAUGAGUUCUCCCUGACYCYUURAGRGUCCUGAAGGAACGUUGAAGACGACGACGUUGAUAGGCCGGGUGUGUAAGCGCAGCGAUGCGUUGAGCUAACCGGUACUAAUGAACCGUGAGGCUUAACCUUACAACGCCGAAGCUGUU